AUUGAACGCUGGCGGCAUGCUUUACACAUGCAAGUCGAGCGGUAACAGGCCUUCGGGUGCUGACGAGUGGCGAACGGGUGAGUAAUGCAUCGGAACGUACCCAGAGGUGGGGGAUAACGCAGCGAAAGCUGUGCUAAUACCGCAUGUGAUCUGAGGAUGAAAGCGGGGGACCGAGCAGCAAUGUUUGGCCUCGCGCCUUUGGAGCGGCCGAUGUCGGAUUAGCUAGUUGGUGGGGUAAAGGCCUACCAAGGCGACGAUCCGUAGCUGGUCUGAGAGGACGACCAGCCACACUGGGACUGAGACACGGCCCAGACUCCUACGGGAGGCAGCAGUGGGGAAUUUUGGACAAUGGGCGCAAGCCUGAUCCAGCAAUGCCGCGUGCGGGAAGAAGGCCUUCGGGUUGUAAACCGCUUUUGGCAGGAACGAAACGGUGUCCGCUAAUACCGGGCGCUAAUGACGGUACCUGCAGAAUAAACACCGGCUAACUACGUG
rnacentral:rRNA from 1 species